rnacentral:rRNA from 1 species
CCUUGUACACACCGCCCGUCACACCAUGGGAGUGGGUUUCACCAGAAGCCGGUCGCCUAACCGCAAGGGGGGCGCCGACCACGGUGAGAUUCAUGACUGGGUGAAGUCGUAACAAGGUACCC